GACGAACGCUGGCGGCGUACUUAACACAUGCAAGUCGAACGGAAAGGCCCUGCUUUUGUGGGGUGCUCGAGUGGCGAACGGGUGAGUAACACGUGAGUAACCUGCCCUUGACUUUGGGAUAACUUCAGGAAACUGGGGCUAAUACCGGAUAGGAGCUCCUGCUGCAUGGUGGGGGUUGGAAAGUUUCGGCGGUUGGGGAUGGACUCGCGGCUUAUCAGCUUGUUGGUGGGGUAGUGGCUUACCAAGGCUUUGACGGGUAGCCGGCCUGAGAGGGUGACCGGCCACAUUGGGACUGAGAUACGGCCCAGACUCCUACGGGGGGCAGCAGUGGGGAAUAUUGCACAAUGGUCGGAAGCCUGAUGCAGCAACGCCGCGUGCGGGAUGACGGCCUUCGGGUUGUAAACCGCUUUCGCCUGUGACGAAGCGUGAGUGACGGUAAUGGGUAAAGAAGCACCGGCUAACUACGUG
rnacentral:rRNA from 1 species